rnacentral:rRNA from 1 species
UGCAAGUCGAACGAGAAGGAAGAGCUUGCUCUUCGUGAAAGUGGCGAACGGGUGAGUAACGCGUGGGUAACCUACCCUUUGGAAAGGAAUAGCCUCGGGAAACUGGGAGUAAUGCCUUAUAAGAUACGUUUGUCGCAUGGCAUUUGUAUUAAACGCUCCGGCGCCAUAGGAUGGACCCGCGUCCCAUUAGCUAGUUGGUGAGAUAACAGCUCACCAAGGCCACGAUGGGUAACCGGUCUGAGAGGGCGAACGGUCACACUGGAAUUGAGACACGGUCCAGACUCCUACGGGAGGCAGCAGUGGGGAAUAUUGCGCAAUGGGGGCAACCCUGACGCAGCAAUACCGCGUGAGUGAAGAAGGUUUUCGGAUCGUAAAGCUCUGUUAUUGGGGAAGAAAAAAAGACGGUACCCAAGAAGAAAGUUCCGGCUAACUACGUGCCAGCAGCCGCGGUAAUACGUAGGGAACAAGCGUUGUCCGGAUUUACUGGGCGUAAAGGGCACGCAGGCGGUUUUUUAAGUCAGAUGUGAAAGGCCACAGCUCAACUGUGGACAUGCAUUUGAAACUGAAAGACUUGAGUAUUGGAGAGGCAAGUGGAAUUCCUAGUGCAGCGGUGAAAUGCGUAGAUAUUAGGAGGAACACCGGUGGCGAAGGCGGCUUGCUGGA